GUUGGUCUCUCUAACACUGUGGCAUGUCCCCUUUCUUCUAAACUCACUACAGACACCUUUUCUCUGUCUCAGACUAUACCAGGAACUUCUGCCUGCUAGUAAGAAGGUAAGGAGACAAGUGGACCAGCGAGUGCUAGGGGACAGUCCUUAGAAAGAAUGGAGUGAGCGCAUCAUUAGACGCAUUUAUGUCAAGCUCAAGGUGCUGCCUGCAUAGUAUGCCCUUAGUUGGACAGCCUGCAGGAUUGGCAGGCAGCCUGACAUGCAUUCAUGCCAGGCUGACCUUCCAAUUCUUUGGACAAACAUGCCCCCUUUUUGGGCAUGUUCACCCCUUUUGGCAGGUCUUGUCACGUGAUUUGCACCAGUGGCACACCCUUUUACCC